rnacentral:rRNA from 1 species
UAACGGCGAGUGAAGCGGCAACAGCUCACAUUUGAAAUCUGGCCCUAGCGGUCCGAGUUGUAAUGUGUAGAGGAUGCGAUUGGCGCGGUGCCUUCCGAGUUCCCUGGAACGGGACGCCUUAGAGGGUGAGAGCCCCGUACGGUUGGACACCAAGCCUCUGUAAAGCUCCUUCGACGAGUCGAGUAGUUUGGGAAUGCUGCUCUAAAUGGGAGGUAAACUUCUUCUAAAGCUAAAUACCGGCCAGAGACCGAUAGCGCACAAGUAGAGUGAUCGAAAGAUGAAAAGCACUUUGAGUAGAGGGUUAAAUAGCACGUGAAAUUGUUGAAAGGGAAGCGUUUACGACCAGACCUGAUCCUGGCGGAUCAUCCGGCGUUCUCGCCGGUGCACUUCGUCAGGCUUAGGCCAGCAUCGGUUUCCGCGGGGGGAUAAAAGUAGGGGGAAAGUAGCUCUCUUCGGGGAGUGUUAUAGCCCCCUACAUAAUACCUUCGUGGGGACCGAGGACCGCGCAUGGCAAGGAUGCUGGCGUAAUGGUCGUCAACGACCCGUCUUGAGCCACGGACCRAGGAGUCCAACAUUUAUGCGAU